AGCUGACCGAUAGUGAACUAGUACCGUGAGGGAAAGGCGAAAAGAACCCCGGGAGGGGAGUGAAAUAGAUCCUGAAACCGCAUGCAUACAAAAAGUCGGAGCCGCAAGGUGACGGCGUACCUUUUGUAUAAUGGGUCAGCGACUUACAUUCAGUGGCGAGGUUAACCGAAUAGGGAAGCCGUAGAGAAAUCGAGUCCGAACAGGGCGACAGUCGCUGGGUGUAGACCCGAAACCAGGUGAUCUACCCAUGGCCAGGAUGAAGGUGCGGUAACACGCCCUGGAGGUCCGAACCCACUAAUGUUGAAAAAUUAGGGGAUGAGCUGUGGGUAGGGGUGAAAGGCUAAACAAA
rnacentral:rRNA from 14 species